rnacentral:lncRNA from 1 species
GGUUGUUACAUUUUACACAAUUGUGUUCUUUGAUAGUACUCCAUUUUGUUUAUAGCAAUUUUGUAGGAUUUUUUCUAUUUCUUUUUCCAGAAAAACACACAGUUGAGUUCAUUUCACAUUAAUAAUCCAAUUAGCACAUUAUGUAGAAAAGUAUUAACAAUUAAGUUUCCUCUUCAGUAUAGACCUGCAGGACCUGUUGAUGAUCAUAAAAACCAAGAUAUCUGACCUAUAAAUACAC